rnacentral:lncRNA from 1 species
UUUUUUUUUUUUUUUUUUGGUAAGUAAGAAUUUGUUAAUACCAAAGAACAAACAAGAUAGGCAUAACCACAAAAGAAAUAAAGAAACUUUAUUAAUAAAGUUGAAAAUUUAAUUAUUGUCUAAAACAAAUGAAGAAAGAUGGCAUAACCACAAAACUGAAAAAACAAACAAAAAUGUGACACUCUUACUGUGCCUUAGCUUUUCAGAAAAUGACCAUUAUAGCGAAAUUUUCUACAGAUAAAUGUAUUACACCGCCACAUGAAAGCGAAAACAGCCAAGGCUUUCAAUUGCCAAAAGAAGAGAUGAAAGAAUAUCCAAAGGGCUCUUCUUCCUCGGGUGCAUAUGAUAUUAUACUCUGCCUUUUUCCCUCCCCAUCUAAUGCUUGAGUUUGGACUCUCUUUAGUUCCUCUAAACGCCAAAAAACUAGAAGAGUGUUAUUAUAGUGAGUAGUUAAAGUAGAAUUUCCCCCUUUUUUUGAUUGUGUUUUUAGGUGGUUUAGUCUAGUCAAAUAACGAUGUGUAUGUUUCAAGGUUAGUUAACAAUGCUUGCAGCACUGAAGCUCAGAUUCUGGAAACUUGCAUAUUUUCCACCUCCAUGUCUUAGUUUAUAUAUUUAAGGACUCCAUGUCCUCCAAAUUUCAAUCUGAAAAUUGGGUGCCGUACCAUUUUUCUUUUUCUUGUUUUGUGUAGCUUUUCUGGUAGCACAUCCAUAGGAGAUAAAAAAUCUUGUUGAUUUUCUGAUCAAAUAUUGCAUGGGUUGCUCCUACACCCAUUCUUUAGCCACGUAUUCCAUCUUUUAGAUGACAAAGCAAGAAGAACUUUCAAUAAUGUCUUUCUGUAUGGUUAGAGGCUUAAGAUUUAAUCUCUUGGAGCUUCCAAUGUGCUCAGUUUUCACAAACACAAAAUCAAGGAAGCUCAAGUCAUGCAAAACUAAGUAGAGCAUUCUGCUCCCUUGAAGGAAAAGAAAAACCAAAUGUAACUUAUUUAUGCCUUGGCCUCAUUAGGAACUCACUUUUGGCCUUUAAAAGCAAAAGGGAUGCUCAAUUACCACCCUGUUAGGUUGCAAAAUUUUGAGGUUUAAGGUUUUAUAAAUCAUAACUCAUUAUACUUUGGUAAAUCAUGAUAUGCAGGAGCAUAUUCUUUAGGGCAAGUUGAUCAGGUAUGCUUUAAAAAGCGCUUUUCUACUGCAUAUGGUCAAAUGGUAGUUUCUUAAGAAGAGGAGGAAAUUUUAGGGGUUGUCCAUCUGGCGAGUGUCAAGCUCAUCAGGGUAAAUGUGAGGCGACAUCUGCCUUGGACAAGGACAGUAAUUCCGUCUCAAUAUUUUGACAAGAAGUUGCAACAAAGAAUGGAAUCAAUGGAUUGAAGAAUUCGAGAUCUGCCUCCGACAAGGACUGUACUUUAGCCUGUUAGUAUUUUGACAAGAAGUUGCAACAUGGAAUCAACGGGUUAUGGGGGUGUCUCGAAACAAUGGAAAUUCUUUCACUCUGCCGUUUGGAGGUCAUAACCUUCCAAAGUGCGACAAACAUAUACUAGUAGCAUAACUCUCCGAGUAAAAUGCAUUUUGUUCCUAUCACUUUUAACCAAAUUUAUAGGAAUUUACGCAGCUAGGACGAACACAUUCCAUUCGUUCAUUAAAGUUCCAUAUAUGAGUUACGAGGAUUAACACACACAGACACAGCGCCCACCCACUGCCGCAUACAGAAUACUGGGCCCGAGAAUAGAAUGAUACAAGUAGCACAUCUACCCAAAGGCGGAGGAGUAAAAAUGUCAAUGAAACUGAUCAAAAGAUGAUGAUUAAAAAUCACUAUCUAUAGAACAGAAUAUAUUCAACAAUCAAAUGUCUGUCUCCCCGUCUUUUCAACCCAGCAAUUGGGACGCAAAUUUAACACAAGGGGGGCAACAGGAGAAGCAGACAAAUCCAAUUUCAGCAACAAACAUCACUGGAGAAACUCGCAAGCAACCAUUAAGGGCAGCUUUUAUGUAUGUCACAUAAUCACAGCCCACAGCCUCACACCAUCAUGACCAAAGAAGAAAAUGCACAAUCCCAAAAAAGAAUAAAAAGAUCACUAGUCAUUAACACAAAGGGAACAAUAGGAGAAGAAGACAAUCCAUUUCAGCAACAGCCAUCACUCAAAGGAGGAGAAACUUGCGAAUAACUAUUAAGGGCUGUAAGAGCCUUCCUCCACUGCCAGGUUCAGGGUCCAAUUCCUGUGCUUGAUAGUUGGGGUGGCAAGGGGUGGAGGGGGGGGGGGAAUUAAAAGCUGCUUUCAUGUUCACAGAAAACAGCCCAAAAACCAUCAUGACAAUAAGGAAAACACAGAAUUCCUAAAAGGAAAGAGUUUCAGAAGUCAUCAACAUUGACAAUAUGCGUUCCAUUAAAACACCAGCACCACAUAAGAUCAAGUCAUAGCAGAAAGAUUAUUAUGGGGCAAUCUUCAUGCAAAGCCAUCUUCAUGCAAAGCCCAUUAAACAAACAUUCUAAAUCCAAGGUCACCAUAGACCCAGAAAUAAAGAUCCAAGUGACAAGUUAAACAACAAAUUUCCAGCAAAAAUGUUUUCAUCGAAGACUUGGUUGGUACUGCAACUUCAAGGUCAUACUUCCGGAGUAUCCGAGCGGAUGG